GGGAAGGUGGCUCAGUGGUAGAGUGCUUGCUUUGCAUGCGUGAGGCCCUGGGUUCGAUUCCCCAGCAUUCCA
rfam:Dipodomys ordii contig_31226, whole genome shotgun sequence.